UACGUAGUGGGCUAGCGUUGCUCGGAAUCACUGGGCGUAAAGCGCACGUAGGCGGAUUCUUAAGUCAGGGGUGAAAUCCUGGAGCUCAACUCCAGAACUGCCUUUGAUACUGGGAAUCUCGAGUCCGGGAGAGGUGAGUGGAACUGCGAGUGUAGAGGUGAAAUUCGUAGAUAUUCGCAAGAACACCAGUGGCGAAGGCGGCUCACUGGCCCGGUACUGACGCUGAGGUGCGAAAGCGUGGGGAGCAAACAGG
rnacentral:rRNA from 1 species